ACAGAUGUAAGUUAAGUUUAAACUAGUGGUCUUCAAAACCAAAAAUUUAAUCUGUA
rnacentral:tRNA from 1 species